UUGAGUCUCUUUUAUUAUAAAUUUGAUUUUGUCAUCAAAUUCACCAAACGACCCUUAACGUUGCAUAGUCAUAGUGUACAUUAAUCCAGGACAAAGUAAGAAUAAUUAAAUCACCCUUUUUUGUUCUUGGAAUGCCAUCUUUAGUCUUCUCCGAUGACCAAAUCACACUUCCAUGGCAACCACUAGCAGGAACCCAAUCACGAGUUUGCCCAACAUUUUCAACACUACAAAAAUUCCCAAAUCAAAAACCAGGAAAACCAUAAUCAGAAAACUAAUGAUUUUUAUCUGAAGAUGGCUGUUGAGAUGAUACAAAGUAAGCCCUAUUAUCGUUUUGGGUGUUGUCUCUGCAGAAAAAAAAAACUAGCACAUCUUCACUCCCCAAUUAAUGAACAUGUCUUGUUUUCUGUAGCUGGUUUUUUUUGGGGAUUCUUGGCUUGAUUUCGAGAAAAAGGUCCAAUCUUUUGCUUUUGAAGAGUUAGAUUUUGUGUAGAUUUUCAGCGAAGAAGUUGCUUAUAUUCCUCACCGGUGAGUCUCUUAAAGGGUUUUGGCUUUUGUUUUCACUGAAAAUCUAGAGUGAUAGCUGGGGUUUCAGAAGAUGUGUUGGAAGAUUGGGUAAACAUGGGUUUGUGUGAUUUUAGUGUUUGCAUUUUAUAAAAAGUACUUGAAAAUGCUUGCGAAGUAGAAUUGAAUGUGAAGUUGGUUCAUUCGUUUUGAUCUGUUUUUAUUGUUUGUGAGAAUUGAGAAGCAAUGGAAGGGAAUUUGUCUCGGGAGGUAUGGUUCAAGGUGGGAGUUCCUUUGGUGGUUUUGAUCUGCCUAAAUCAAUGAGGGUUCAUCGGCAAGGGCAUCAUCCUCAUUCCAUGAAUCAACAUCAAACUCAUCCUUCGUCGGUGGUGAUCCUGGUUCGUGCCGGCGAGUUGCAGGGAGAGACGAGAUUCCUCUCUCGCGCGAAAAGGAGGACGAAGUUUGGGAUGCUCCAUCCGGCGUGGGUGGCGUCGUCGGCGACACUCUUGGCCAGCGAAGGAAGGUGCGACGGAGGGUAGGGACGACUGACGUUGGAGGUUGAAGGAAGAGGCUUUUUUCUCUUUUAGGAUUUUAGGGUUCUGAUGAAGAAGAAAAGAAGUUUGUCCUUUUUGCCCUCUGAUUUAACCUUUGCUCAAUCUAUUUUUUAAUACAAAAAUUAAUUCAAAAUGUCACGUCAGAUUAAUGAAUACGGUAACCAUAGAACUAAUGUAAAUGAUCAUUUAUUGAAUUUAAUGGCAAAUCCCU
rnacentral:lncRNA from 1 species